CUGUUAUUUUCCUUCUUAAUCUCCUCCAUCUUGAUAACCCGAUCUCGCCUUUUAUUGAUCACUCGGCCAAAAACGAUGCAAAACCUAAAUCCUUCAAUUUGUCGGCAGAACACGUGAUUGCAAAAUUAUCAUUUGGAUUUCCAUUCAAGUUGCAGAAGGAGACUAAAUAUACUACGUUGCGAGGGUUUGGUUGUAGUGCACAUUCCAUAAGAUCUAAAGAUGGAUGCAGCAGGAAUUUUUUUUGUGCGCAGAAAUAACAGUGCUUACACUAUUCAAAGAUAGCUACUAACUGAAAGGUCAAGUAAAACAUUCUAAGUACGGGGCUCAUAAGGUAUUCUAGGUCAUGUUGUUCUUAUGUUUCGGCAACAGUGUUACUGCCAUAGGCAUGUUUUAUUCUCAAGAGGCCAAAGCAAAAGUGCGUCAAGGUGUUGAGCAUUUUUGUCAGCAAUGAUACAGAACAAAUUGUAGGUUGCGGCUUAACAGGAUCACGCGAUGGUUAUUUGAUUAUGUCGACAAGGGUGAUAGUUUAAAAACAUACUGCCGUUUAUAAAAGAAAUAAAAAAUUGCAGGACUGUUACGGAGUAUAUAUAUAUAUAUAUUUUUUAUUAUUUUUCACUACGGUACCAUUAUAUUGAUUAAGUUGUUAUGUCGAUCAAUGUUCAUGCUAGGAUGUG